CCGCGACUAGCUCAACCGGCAGAGCGCCUGGCUUACAUCCAGGAGGCUGGGGGUUCGAACCCCUCGUCGCGGACCA
rnacentral:tRNA from 1 species